rnacentral:misc_RNA from 1 species
GAAAUGCGAUAAGUAAUGUGAAUUGCAGAAUUCAGUGAAUCAUCGAAUCUUUGAACGCACCUUGCGCUCGUUGGUAUUCCGACGAGCAUGCCUGUUUGAGUGUCAUGAAUUCUCCACCCCCAUGUCUUUUGUCACCAAAGGACGUGCUUGGGGCGGGUCCAUGGGCAUCUUUGCCAGUCUUCGGACAGGCUUGCCUUAAAAGUAUUAGCUGGACUGCAUCUGCGAUGCAUUGGUUCUACUCAACGUGAUAAGUUCAUUCGUUGAGGACGGCUUCACGGCCGGCCAAGCUACAAUGCGAUCAAUAGUCUGCUUCUAACCCGGCGCGGAGUGCCUGCACUCCAACCCAACUUAACGCUCUGGCCUCAAAUCAGGUAGGAUUACCCGCUGAACUUAA